rnacentral:rRNA from 1 species
AUGCUUUGCUGGAUGAGCAGGCAGAAGAAUCGGUCGAUCAUAGAUUGGGGAGAGCAACAUGCCAGAUACGUGAAGGAAUGGACUGAGUGGAAAACUCGCAAAGAUGUGGAGAGGAAAGUGAUCGACUGGGAUGAAUACGAGGAUCACAUGUGGUGGUACGACGAUGGCAUCAAGCAUCGUCUGCGCCUGAGGCCCCAGCGGACGACAGCAGACGCCAAAGAACUGUACGAUGACGGCUCCGAGAAUGAAGCCUACCAUGACAACAUCAGAGAGCUAAAAGGCAGAUUUAGGGAGUAUGGACCCCUCAUGAACAGAAUGUCUUCGGAGCUGAACAAAAGCAUUUGA